rnacentral:rRNA from 1 species
GAGAGGGUGAUCGGCCACACUGGGACUGAGACACGGCCCAGACUCCUACGGGAGGCAGCAGUAGGGAAUCUUCCGCAAUGGACGAAAGUCUGACGGAGCAACGCCGCGUGAGUGAUGAAGGUUUUCGGAUCGUAAAGCUCUGUUGUUAGGGAAGAACAAGUGCAAGAGUAACUGCUUGCACCUUGACGGUACCUAACCAGAAAGCCACGGCUAACUACGUGCCAGCAGCCGCGGUAAUACGUAGGUGGCAAGCGUUGUCCGGAAUUAUUGGGCGUAAAGGGCUCGCAGGCGGUUUCUUAAGUCUGAUGUGAAAGCCCCCGGCUCAACCGGGGAGGGUCAUUGGAAACUGGGAAACUUGAGUGCAGAAGAGGAGAGUGGAAUUCCACGUGUAGCGGUGAAAUGCGUAGAGAUGUGGAGGAACACCAGUGGCGAAGGCGACUCUCUGGUCUGUAACUGACGCUGAGGAGCGAAAGCGUGGGGAGCGAACAGGAUUAGAUACCCUGGUAGUCCACGCCGUAAACGAUGAGUGCUAAGUGUUAGGGGGUUUCCGCCCCUUAGUGCUGCAGCUAACGCAUUAAGCACUCCGCCUGGGGAGUACGGUCGCAAGACUGAAACUCAAAGGAAUUGACGGGGGCCCGCACAAGCGGUGGAGCAUGUGGUUUAAUUCGAAGCAACGCGAAGAACCUUACCAGGUCUUGACAUCCUCUGACAACCCUAGAGAUAGGGCUUUCCCUUCGGGGACAGAGUGACAGGUGGUGCAUGGUUGUCGUCAGCUCGUGUCGUGAGAUGUUGGGUUAAGUCCCGCAACGAGCGCAACCCUUGAUCUUAGUUGCCAGCAUUUAGUUGGGCACUCUAAGGUGACUGCCGGUGACAAACCGGAGGAAGGUGGGGAUGACGUCAAAUCAUCAUGCCCCUUAUGACCUGGGCUACACACGUGCUACAAUGGACAGAACAAAGGGCUGCGAGACCGCAAGGUUUAGCCAAUCCCACAAAUCUGUUCUCAGUUCGGAUCGCAGUCUGCAACUCGACUGCGUGAAUCUGGAAUCGCUAGUAAUCGCGGAUC